rnacentral:rRNA from 1 species
UACAGAGGGGGCAAGCGUUGUUCGGAAUUACUGGGCGUAAAGGCGCGUAGGCGGCCUGUUAAGUCGAACGUGAAAUCCCCGGGCUCAACCCGGGAACUGCGUCCGAUACUGGCAGGCUUGAAUUCGGGAGAGGGAUGCGGAAUUCCAGGUGGUAGCGGUGAAAUGCGUAGAUAUCUGGAGGAACACCGGUGGCGAAAGGCGGCAUCCUGGACCGAGAUUGACGCUGAGGCGCGAAAGCCAGGGGAGCAAACGGGAUAG